UAUCUGGUUGAUCCUGCCUGAACUGAUGUGUUCAUUUCAAAGAUUAAGCCAUGCAUGUAUAAGUUUAAUCGUUUUAACGAGAAACCGCGAACGGCUCAUUACAAUGGCCAUGAUUUACUUGAUCUUGAUUAUCUAAAUGGAUAACUGUGGAAAAGCUAGAGCUAAUACAUGCACCAAAGCUUUGUCCUCACGGAAAAGCGCAUUUAUUAGAACAAAACCACGCGGCUUCGGCUGCUUCUUGUUGACUCAGAAUAACUAAGCUGACCGCAUGGCCUUGUGCCGGCGGCGUGUCUUUCAAGCGUCCACUUUAUCAACUUGACGGGAGCAUAAUCGACUCCCGUGGUGGUGACGGAUAACGGAGGAUCAGGGUUCGACUCCGGAGAAGGGGCCUGAGAAAUGGCCACUACGUCUAAGGAUGGCAGCAGGCGCGCAAAUUACCCACUCUCGGCUCGAGGAGGUAGUGACGAGAAAUAACGAGACUGUUCUCUUUGAGGCCGGUCAUCGGAAUGGGUACAAUUUAAACCCUUUAACGAGUAUCAAGCAGAGGGCAAGUCUGGUGCCAGCAGCCGCGGUAAUUCCAGCUCUGCUAAUACAUAGAAUUAUUGCUGCGGUUAAAAAGCUCGUAGUUGGAUUCGUAUCGGUACCUUGGAACCCUUCGGGUGUUUCUGGGUGUUAUCGAUUUAUCGUAAUGUUCGGUUUUGAGUCCUUAACAGGAUUCUUAACAGUCAUUGCAAGUUUACUUUGAACAAAUCAGAGUGCUUCAAACAGGCGUUUUCGCUUGAAUGAUCGUGCAUGGAAUAAUAGAAAACGAUUUCGGUUCAGUUUUAUUGGUUUUACGGACUGAGAUAAUGGUUAACAGAGACAAACGGGGGCAUUUGUAUGGCCCCGUGAGAGGUGAAAUUCUUGGACCGAGUGUCGUAGGGUUCAGGCAAUAGGGUUCCCCCAGGCAAUCAAAUUUCACCAGGCAUUUUUGGUUUAUGAGUCUGUGACGAUCCGAUUAAAAAUCCCCCCCCCCCAGUCAAUCAAAUUUACCCAAGGCAAUCAAAUAAUCGACUCAAGUAAAAUAUAUACUCAAGUAAAGGUAUGUAUAUAUAAACUACAAUUUAUAAAAAAGUUAAAUAAUUGUUUUCUAUAGACUCAAGUGUGUUUUCUUAGACUCAAGUUUUUGCCAAAGCAUUAAAAAAAGAUUACGACUGUUAGGGUGGCGGCUUAGUAUAAAAGGCGAAGCCUUUUAGUAGUCGGAGAGUUAGUUGUUAGUCUAUAGUCAGUCUAGUCUUAGUGUUAUUCUAGUCGGAGCCAACGCAUAGUCUCGCCUAUUUCUAUUGUAUUGUUGCUUGUGAUAAACCUUUGUUUGUUAGUCGAGUCUUUCUGUUAGUAUCGGACACACCGCAAGUCGAUACGUAACAGUGGCGCGGUCGCACAGCUAAACUCGUAUAAAAUCGAGUAGUCAACUACCAAGUCAAAAAUGAGUUUUGCAAAGACAAUUCAUGAGUGGUACAAGUCUAAAUUCGAAAAGAGAGAAACAGUAGAAAUUCUAUCAGUCGGAACAGUCCAGAAAUUCGAUUG